CCCAAACUCCUACGGGAGGCAGCAGUGGGGAAUCUUCCGCAAUGGACGAAAGUCUGACGGAGCAACGCCGCGUGAGUGAUGAAGGAUUUCGGUCUGUAAAGCUCUGUUGUUUAUGACGAAGUGCAGUGUGUGAACAAUGCAUUGCAAUGACGGUAGUAAACGAGGAAGCCACGGCUAACUACGUGCCAGCAGCCGCGGUAAUACGUAGGUGGCGAGCGUUGUCCGGAAUUAUUGGGCGUAAAGAGCAUGUAGGCGGCUUAAUAAGUCGAGCGUGAAAAUGCGGGGCUCAACCCCGUAUGGCGCUGGAAACUGUUAGGCUUGAGUGCAGGAGAGGAAAGGGGAAUUCGCAGUGUAGCGGUGAAAUGCGUAGAUAUUGGGAGG
rnacentral:rRNA from 1 species